rnacentral:lncRNA from 1 species
UUCCUGCCUGCCGCCAUGCUUCCCCACGAUGAGAAUGAACUGAUCUGUAAGCAAUCCCAACUACAUGUUUUCUCUUCUAAGAGUUGCCUUGGUCAUCCUGUCUUUUCACAGCAGCAGAACAGUGAACAGGACAGUGUUCUUGGGAAUGCUUUCAUGGGACAGCACAACCAUGAUUCAGUCGCUCACUCCAUUGUAUGUCUACUGGAUGUCACUUUGUCCUGAUUUUGCCAUUCUUCCUGGUCACUCUCCCCACUUUUUUUUAAUGUGCCCCGAAUCAUAUCUCCAGGCCACUACUGUGGCUUUUGUUCAUUGGUUUUUUUUGAGGCAGGGUCUCACUCUAGCCCAGGCUGCCCUUGAACUCACUUUGUAGUUCAGGCUGACACUCCUGCCUCAGUGUGGGAUCACGGCGUGCAUCCAAUCUCCAGAUCUUCUCACGCCAGCUUUUCCUACGUCUCCACAGCAGUUUAUCUGAUCAAAUUCUUUAAGGCCAGCUCUGUGCGUGAGCGCAGGUCCAUGUUUUGUGCUUUCUGUGGUUUUAGGCUUUCCCUAGUGAUCUGUGAAGGCAACAACUUACCAAACAGCUUUUCUUUUUUUGUUUUUCCAUUCUCAAUGGUGCUUUAAAAGGACCUGUGCAGAAUAGGUACUUAGAGGAGAAGCCUAGUUUCUCUGUUGAUUCCAUAUUGGUUAAAAUGAAUGACGGAGGACUUUAGGGAAG